rnacentral:lncRNA from 1 species
AAACACAGAUCCUGGUGCCGAACAUGAGGACAGGGCAGGCCGAAGGAGAAAGUGGAAGGAGGGGAGCUUCUCUCUCAGCCUCAUCCUUCUGGGCCUGGAUGCUGGAGAGUCAUGAGGUGCUUCAGAGUACUCUGGGUGAGGAGGGAAAGAUGGUGCCCACCACAUGGAGGCCAGCCUAGGUCUUGUAUGAAACCUGUGAGCUCUCAUGAACCAGUACAGGCCUGCUUCAGCAUAGCACUGGGUCCAAAGGAAAAGAAGAAAAUGCUGAGUGUGUGGGUGGAACAUCUAACCUCUUCGGACGUACAAGGCUCCUGCCUAUGUCAUCCUUUCCCCUGGCAUGGCAGCAGAUGCAACUCUGGAGUGGGGGAAGAGGGCGGGAAGAGAGCCUGUGCUGCUGAGCACCUACCAGGACUUGUCAGGGCCCAGGCACCCUAUGAAACACCUUAUGUUGGUUAUCCCACACCAAGCUCGCAAACCUCUGAGGUAGGCAACUUUGUCACAGAGAGAGGCUGAGUAACAAGCCCAAAGUCAAACAGCCAAGAAGAGACAGAACUGUAUUAAACUUAUCUACUGGACCCCAAAGACCACUCUUUUCCCUACGGUACAGUACAUCCUUCCCUAUCCGGACCGGAGUUGGCCACAGAAGUUGGAUCAUCUCCAUUCCUGUAUACCCGGCACCACAUUGGUCCCUAGCACAAAGUAGGGUUGACAAAUAUUUGUUGAAUGUAGUGAUUUCAAAACAAAGAUUUAACAUCUGAAAGU